rnacentral:rRNA from 1 species
GAUGAACGCUGACAGAAUGCUUAACACAUGCAAGUCAACUGUGGCGGACGGGUGAGUAACGCGUAAAGAACUUGCCUCACGGAUAGGGACAACAUUUGGAAACGAAUGCUACUACCUGAUACUGUGAGAGAGCUUUGCGUCCCAUUAGCUCGUUGGAGAGGUACCGGCUACCCAAGGCGAUGAUGGGUAGCCGGCCUGAGAGGGUGAUCGGCAACAAGGGGACUGAGACACGGCCCUUACUCCUACGGGAGGCAGCAGUGGGGAAUAUUGGACAAUGGACCAAAGUCUGAUCCAGCAAUUCUGUGUGCACGAUGAAGUUUUCAGAAUGUAAAGUGCUUUCAGUUGGGAAGCGGUACCAACAGAAGAAGUGACGGCUAACUACGUGCCAGCAGCCGCGGUAAUAC